rnacentral:lncRNA from 1 species
AAAUUUAGAUAUAUUUUUUAAUGAAUGGAAUCACAAAUCACUUACAAAUUUAUUAUUUUAAAAAAAUAAAAAUAAUAAAAAUAUAUAUUUUAGCAAUACGUUGAACUAUUCUGAAAGUACAGGUAUUUUUUAUGUAUCAAAAUUCAGGAUUCUUAUAACCAUGUUUACAUUAUUCAAGGUAUCUAAAUGUUUUUGUCAUUGUUAAUUUGAUGGUUCAUGCCCUUUACCAAGUGCUUCUUCCAAUUUGAAAGAAUAAAACUAAAGAAAUAAAUUCUCAUUAAAAAACAAACAAACAUACAAACAAACAAACAAACAAACAAACAAACACUGUUCAACUGAAUAGACUAUUGAAAUUAUGUAAAUAAAAUAAAAUAAAAUAAAAUGAUUUUGAGAUAAAUUUUUAUAUUUCCGAAAUAUAUUAUUGCUACUUAUUCUAAAAACAUAUUGCAUGGAACGAUUACAGGGAUGAAAAUGAUAAAUUUAUAAGUGUGUUUUCAAAGUAUUCUCUUUGAGUAAAAUGUACAUCACAUUUUACUUUAUUAUUAAUACUACAUUACAUCAGAUACAUGAUUAGCUCUACAUUAAAGGUUUUAUUUCAGUAUUUUAAAAUCAUUACAAGAUUUUUUUUUACCAAAUCCAAGAAAAAAUGCAUUGUUUAGUUUUGAUUUUAAUUUUAAGUUUUUUAUAAACCUUAAUAAUCACACUAAAGCAUAUGGUACUAUUUCAUAGUUCCAAUUUCCCAAAACUGUAAGUUUGGGUAUAAAACCAGGAAACCUUUGUAUUGGAUCAAGCCAUUUGUUACAUUGAACAUUAUAUGAAACAAUGAAAUUAGCAUGUUCACGACCAACAAUUGAAAUGCAAUCCAUACUUGAGAUGCAAUCCCACUCAGUUUUAAUACCUGGAACAAAACAUGCAUUGAACAAGGUUUGUGGCAUCAUAGUCACAUAUUCACAAUCGGGAUAAUCGUACACAUGUUGAAUGAACUUCCAAAUGUUUAUUGUUGUAGGAGUUGAUGCUCCACGAGCUAUAAUGUACAAUUCAUUGUUAACUUCAAGAACUUGAGGGUGUUCUACAACCAUUAAAGAUGGCCAAUUGUAAGCUUUCCAAGUACGCGUUUGUAGUCUAUAACCAAGAAUUAAAGGUUGAUAAAUACCGGCCGUAUUUGUGACUAACUCUCCACUCAUAAACAAUGUGGGUCCCUCGCACAACUUUGUUAUCAAUGCAAGAGCUCCAUUGCCACCGCGUAGACUUGGACGCAAUAUUCUACUACACGGCGAUACAAAUACCUCCCACUUUUGAGUGAUUGAUUUAUAAAUAGCUAUUUGCAUACCAUCCGCUUCACCAUCUUUUAUAUUUUUACAAUGAAAUCCCGCAAUGUAGACUACAUAAGAUGAACCACUUGGAUGAACCACCAACCGUGCUACCAUAUUUUCUAAACUAACAUGCAUUGGUGGAAGCACUCGGAAUGUUUGUAUUAUAGGGUUGCACACAACAAGGACAUGUUGAGAUGGGAGAUUUGGAGGUUCAUAUGGUGGAAUCAAAGUGGCACUUUUAAUUUUAGAUUUUAUUUUAUUUUUAAUAUUGGUUUCCAAUGUUUCUCCUUGUUGUACUUCUCUUAAUUGUGUGGAUUCAUUUUCUACAAGUUUGUUUCCUUUUUUAUGUGAUUUAUUCUUUUUUUCAUUUGCGUUUUCAUUUCUAGGUUUACUUUCUUUUGUUGAGGGAUGUGCAUUUAAGUUUGUGUGGGAUUCUUUUUCUCCAAACAAUAACAAUAGACCUCCUUCUCCGGCAAGCAUUCCAUGCACUUUACUUGGAAGAAAAUCUAAUGAAGGCAUUUUUAUCCAUUUUUUUUUCCUAAGAUCAUAAGCUUGGAUUUUGCGCACCAUUUCUUUUUUACUUAGUAUAUUGCAUGAACAUGUAACCGAUCCAAAUUCAAUAUCAUUGGGUUUGGAAGUGAUAGUUCCCAUUUUCACAUAUGCUUCAUUUCUUACUUUGUUGUUUUUUUCAACUUGUUCUGGAACAAUAAAAGGCCCUAAAUGUAUAAUUUGCUCACCUUGGAAAAGAUCAAUUUGUACUAACACAUCUUCUAAAUCAACACCAUCUAAACAAUUAUCAGUAAGAGGUUUGAUAAUUUCAGCUUCUGCUUCUUUUUCUUUCUCAUUCUGAAUCUUAGGUUUCGGUUUCAAUUUAGGUUCAAUUUUUACACUAAGAUCAACCCUCUCUUUUUUUGAUUUUUUCAAACUUGGUGCAAGGACAUUUUUGUUGUUCUUAUCUUCAAUGCCCACUUCUUUCUUUUGCUCCACUAAAAUAUUUGGAUCUUUCACAAUUUUUUCAUGUUCUUUCAUGCAAAAUGAUGUCAACCAAUAAUCAUUUGGUUUGUAAGGUUUAAGGUGGGGUACUAGAAAGGGAUUCUUAGCAUAAUUUAACAUAAUUGACUUAUAAGAUGGUACAAUUCCCACACGAAAUAAUACUUUUGGUGGUAACUUAGAUAGGAUUAGGUCUCGAAUAUUGUGUCUAUCUUUUAUAUCUUCACUCAAAUAUUCAAACCAAGCUUCAAUCCAUUCAUAUUGACCUACUUUAUCUUCCAAUAAUUUUAAUUUUGUCAAUGCCUUAUAAUUAGGUCGAGGUCCGGGUAACCUUUCUUUAUUAGGUGGUUUGAAUAUUACCUUUAAACUCUCUACAAUAUUCAGUCUUACAGUGCAUGUGUUUGUUAUUGUUGUCAUUGUUGAAUACUAAAAUGAAAUGUUUCUUAAACAUGAACUAUAGAUUUAUCAUAAUCUACAAACCAAUAUUUUGGUGUAAAAUGAUAAAGCUAUAGUUUGAAAAUGUUAAAAAUGUACUGGAUUUGAUAUUUUAAAUAAGUUAUCAUAAGAUGAGUAUUAUGAAAUUUGUAUUAUCUUAGUAGUACUCAUAAGUUGUGACUUUUAAGUUAUCAUAGGUAAUUUUUUUCCUUCAAAUUAUUUUUGAAUGGAAUGUUAUGACAUGUGCAUACAUUACAGAAUCCUAACAAAGAGUGUAAACAUGAUUGGAUUUUGAUUUCAAAAUUUAAAGAUGGCAUCUUCAAAGGUUGUAUCUUCAAUAGUCACAUCUUUUAAAAAUAAUUCCUUAUUGUGGUAAUGUUGAGUUGUUGUUGUUGUUAUUAUUAACAUUGUCAUUUUUGUUGAACAAUGAAGAAUAACAAGAGUAUUUGUAACAUGUUCAAAACAUUAUAUGCUUUAAUGGACACACACACACACACACACAUAUAUAUAUAUAUAUAUAUAUAUAUAAAAGAUCAUAUAUUCAUAUAUAUAUAUAUAUAUAUAUAUGAGAGUGUACUGAAUCAUACAUUUUUCAAUUAAAAAUUAAGGUGCAUUUGUUUUUAAAAGAAAUAUAUAUAUUUUAAAACUUGAGUGUGCAUGAUUUUAGAAACUUACAUAAAUACAUUGUAGUUUCAAACUGUAGUUGUUCAGAAUUUGUUCAUAAUAAAUCCGACAUACUAGGGCAAUUUGUUGUUGUUAUUAUUAUUAUUAAUAUAUAAUUUAUGUAAGUAUAGAAAAGAUAUAAUUUAUGAAAGAAAAUACUUUUGUUCCAAAGC